rnacentral:rRNA from 1 species
CCUACGGGGGGCAGCAGUGGGGAAUAUUGGACAAUGGGCGAAAGCCUGAUCCAGCCAUGCCGCGUGUGUGAAGAAGGCCUUUUGGUUGUAAAGCACUUUAAGCGGGGAGGAGGGCUCUGUGGUUAAUACCCAUGGAAGUCGGACGUUACCCGCAGAAUAAGCACCGGCUAACUCUGUGCCAGCAGCCGCGGUAAUACAGAGGGUGCGAGCGUUAAUCGGAAUUACUGGGCGUAAAGCGCGCGUAGGCGGUUAUGUAAGUUGGAUGUGAAAUCCCCGGGCUUAACCUGGGCACUGCAUUCAAAACUGCAUAGCUAGAGUAUGGGAGAGGAAGGUAGAAUUCCAGGUGUAGCGGUGAAAUGCGUAGAGAUCUGGAGGAAUACCGAUGGCGAAGGCAGCCUUCUGGCCUAAUACUGACGCUGAGGUGCGAAAGCAUGGGGAGCAAACAGGAUUAGAUACCCCGGUAGUC